rnacentral:rRNA from 1 species
CUAUGCGCCUUGCCAGCCCGCUCAGGUGUGCCAGCCGCCGCGGUAAUACAGAGGUCUCAAGCGUUGUUCGGAAUCACUGGGCGUAAAGCGUGCGUAGGCGGUUUCGUAAGUCGUGUGUGAAAGGCGGGGGCUCAGCCCCGGACUGCACAUGAUACUGCGAGACUAGAGUAAUGGAGGGGGAACCGGAAUUCUCGGUGUAGCAGUGAAAUGCGUAGAUAUCGAGAGGAACACUCGUGGCGAAGGCGGGUUCCUGGACAUUAACUGACGCUGAGGCACGAAGGCCAGGGAGCGAAAGGG